rnacentral:rRNA from 1 species
CCCUACGGGUGGCAGCAGUGGGGAAUAUUGGACAAUGGGCGAAAGCCUGAUCCAGCCAUGCCGCGUGUGUGAAGAAGGCCUUCGGGUUGUAAAGCACUUUCAGUGGGGAAGAAAGCCUUGGGGCUAAUACCCUCGAGGAAGGACAUCACCCACAGAAGAAGCACCGGCUAACUCCGUGCCAGCAGCCGCGGUAAUACGGAGGGUGCGAGCGUUAAUCGGAAUUACUGGGCGUAAAGCGCGCGUAGGCGGUCUGAUAAGCCGGUUGUGAAAGCCCCGGGCUCAACCUGGGAACGGCAUCCGGAACUGUCAGGCUAGAGUGCAGGAGAGGAAGGUAGAAUUCCCGGUGUAGCAGUGAAAUGCGUAGAGAUCGGGAGGAAUACCAGUGGCGAAGGCGGCCUUCUGGACUGACACUGACGCUGAGGUGCGAAAGCGUGGGUAGCAAACAGGAUUAGAUACCCUGGUAGUC